UACGUAGGUGGCAAGCGUUGUCCGGAAUUAUUGGGCGUAAAGCGCGCGCAGGCGGUCCUUUAAGUCUGAUGUGAAAGCCCACGGCUCAACCGUGGAGGGUCAUUGGAAACUGGGGGACUUGAGUGCAGAAGAGGAAAGUGGAAUUCCACGUGUAGCGGUGAAAUGCGUAGAGAUGUGGAGGAACACCAGUGGCGAAGGCGACUUUCUGGUCUGUAACUGACGCUGAGGCGCGAAAGCUAGGGGAGCAAACGGG
rnacentral:rRNA from 1 species